ACUCCUACGGGAGGCAGCAGUGGGAAUAUUGCACAAUGGGCGCAAGCCUGAUGCAGCCAUGCCGCGUGUGUGAAGAAGGCCUUCGGGUUGUAAAGCACUUUCAGUUGUGAGGAAAAGGUUUAGUCGCUAAUAUCGGCUAGCUGUGACGUAGCAACAGAAAGAAGCACCGGCUAACUCCGUGCCAGCAGCCGNGGUAAUACGGAGGGUGCGAGCGUUAAUCGGAAUUACUGGGCGUAAAGCGCGUGUAGGUGGCUUGUUAAGCCAGAUGUGAAAGCCCC
rnacentral:rRNA from 1 species